GUUCUAUUAUUGGUAUACAGAAAUUUUGAAAAUUUCUUAAAAGUGUUCAACUCACUUAUAGAAUU
rnacentral:tRNA from 1 species